AGCUGGUUGGAGUGAAGUGGUAUGUAUAACUAAUUGAUCACAACCAGUUACAGAUUCCUUUGUUCCUUCUCCAGUCCCACUGCUUCAUUCACUUGAUUUGC
rnacentral:Y_RNA from 1 species